UACGUAGGGCGCGAGCGUUGUCCGGAAUCACUGGGCGUAAAGGGCGCGUAGGUGGUUUGAUAAGGGUGUGGUGAAAGUCGGGGGCUCAACCCUCGAAUGCCGGUGGAUACUGUCGGGCUAGAGUGCGGAAGAGGCGAGUGGAAUUCCUGGUGUAGCGGUGAAAUGCGCAGAUAUCAGGAGGAACACCAAUUGCGAAGGCAGCUCGCUGGGACGUAACUGACGCUGAGACGCGAAAGCGUGGGGAGCAAACAGG
rnacentral:rRNA from 1 species